UUUCCGUAGGUGAACCUGCGGAAGGAUCAUUCAUAAUAAGUGUUUUAUGGCACUUUUUUAAAUCCAUAUCCACCUUGUGUGCAAUGUCAGGGUUGAUUUUUCCCUCAAGAGGAUCAGCCCCAAACAUCAACUAUAUCUCAACUCUUUGUCUGAAAAAUAUUAUGAAUAAAACAAUUCAAAAUACAACUUUCAACAACGGAUCUCUUGGCUCUC
rnacentral:misc_RNA from 1 species